rnacentral:lncRNA from 1 species
AACCAUUCCGGGGCGGAUUGGAGCUUGUUUUCGGAUGAGCUUUGUAGGAGAUUUUCAGAAACUAUUGAGGAAGAAUCCCAAAAUAAUGAUGGUUCAAGAAUUUUGUUGGAUGAUCAUGAAAAUGGGAUAGGAAAAAAUGUAAAACUGAUGGAGCCCAGAAGUUUGAAUGAGAUUAAGGAAGAAAGUCAAGAGGGAUUUAGUAUGGUGAAGGUUCUUGAUCGAGAUGUUGAGAGACAAGUGAUUGUAAAGAAACUAGAUAAGGAAGUAAAGAGUGCUUGUUCAACUAA